rnacentral:rRNA from 1 species
AGUAACGCGUAGGUAACCUGCCUGGUAGCGGGGGAUAACUAUUGGAAACGAUAGCUAAUACCGCAUAAUAGCUUUGAUUGCAUGAUUGAAGUUUGAAAGAUGCAACUGCAUCACUACCAGAUGGACCUGCGUUGUAUUAGCUAGUAGGUGAGGUAAAGGCUCACCUAGGCGACGAUACAUAGCCGACCUGAGAGGGUGAACGGCCACACUGGGACUGAGACACGGCCCAGACUCCUACGGGAGGCAGCAGUAGGGAAUCUUCGGCAAUGGGGGCAACCCUGACCGAGCAACGCCGCGUGAGUGAAGAAGGUUUUCGGAUCGUAAAGCUCUGUUGUAAGAGAAGAACGUGUGUGAGAGUGGAAAGUUCACACAGUGACGGUAACUUACCAGAAAGGGACGGCUAACUACGUGCCAGCAGCCGCGGUAAUACGUAGGUCCCGAGCGUUAUCCGGAUUUAUUGGGCGUAAAGCGAGCGCAGGCGGUUGGAUAAGUCUGAAGUUAAAGGCUGUGGCUCAACCAUAGUAUGCUUUGGAAACUGUUCAACUUAAGUGCAGAAGGGGAGAGUGGAAUUCCAUGUGUAGCGGUGGAAUGCGUAGAUAUAUGGAGGAACACCGGUGGCGAAAGCGGCUCUCUGGUCUGUAACUGACGCUG